rnacentral:rRNA from 1 species
GAUCCAGACUCCUACGGGAGGCAGCAGUGAGGAAUAUUGGUCAAUGGGCGGGAGCCUGAACCAGCCAAGUCGCGUGAGGGAAGACGGUCCUACGGAUUGUAAACCUCUUUUGCCGGGGAGCAACGGGGUCCUUGCGAGGGCCCGAUGAGAGUACCCAGAGAAAAAGCAUCGGCUAACUCCGUGCCAGCAGCCGCGGUAAUACGGAGGAUGCGAGCGUUAUCCGGAUUUAUUGGGUUUAAAGGGUGCGUAGGCGGGCUGUUAAGUCCGCGGUCAAAUGUCGGGGCUCAACCCCGGCCUGCCGUUGAAACUGGCGGCCUCGAGUGGGCGAGAAGUAUGCGGAAUGCGUGGUGUAGCGGUGAAAUGCAUAGAUAUCACACAGAACACCGAUUGCGAAGGCAUCUCACGAAUCCGCGAUUGACGCUGAUGCACGAAAGCGUGGGUAUCAAACAGGAUUAGAUACCCGUGUACC